CACUGCCGAGAAAAGCCUCUAGAUAGAAAAUAGGUGCCCGUACCGCAAACCGACACAGGUAGUCAAGAUGAGAAUUCUAAGGUGAGCGAGCGAACUCUCGUUAAGGAACUCGGCAAAAUGACCCCGUAACUUCGGGAGAAGGGGUGCUCUUUAGGGUUAACGCCCAGAAGAGCCGCAGUGAAUAGGCCCAAGCGACUGUUUAUCAAAAACACAGGUCUCUGCUAAACCGUAAGGUGAUGUAUAGGGGCUGACGCCUGCCCGGUGCUGGAAGGUUAAGAGGAGUGGUUAGCUUCUGCGAAGCUACGAAUCGAAGCCCCAGUAAACGGCGGCCGUAACUAUAACGGUCCUAAGGUAGCGAAAUUCCUUGUCGGGUA
rnacentral:rRNA from 1 species